AUGUCAUUGGAGCACAAGACUAAGUUAUCCAAGAACCUGCUGUGCAUGAAGUUCAUGCAAAGGGGUCUGGACUCAGGAACCAAGAAACAACUAGAAAAGGAGGAGCGGAAGAUGAUCCGCGACAAGCACUGGUAUCUGGAUUUGCUGGAGUGGAAGGAGAAAGAGAGCGUCACCAUAGACGAGCAGAGCUUCUCCUUGUGUGAAGAUCUUCUCUAUGGAAGGAUGUCAUUCAGAGGGUUUAAUCCUGAAGUUGAGACGUUAAUGCUUCCAAUGAACUCUAAGAACUGAGCAGCGGCAGCAGAGGAAGACGAGAUGGUAGAGGUCGAUGGGUCCAAUGAAGAAAUGGCAAGAAGAUAUGUGACUUUGGUGGGAACAAUUGGAAAAAAAAAGUUUGCCAAGAAAAGGGACUGAGCCAAUUACAAAGAAGAUGAAAAUGUUAAUAUAAAAGCCCUAAGAAGGUGUUCUUAAAGCCCCAAGACUAA
rnacentral:lncRNA from 1 species